ACCUCAACAUUCUCGCGCUGAAGCUCAAGAUCAGCGAUCAUCGACUCUUUAAUGAUGACCUUGGCACGUUCAGCUGCGAGUUCCAACCUUGCAGCCCCCAACUCUCCCAUAAGUUUGGAGAUUUCCUGCUCUUUUUCUCUCAAGAAAGUCCUUUGAGCAGCCCAAUCCGCAGACAACUUCUUAUUGGUUUCAGACAGAGUUGAGGCGUCUGUAAUUUUCUGUGCAACCUCACCUUCCAGAUCUCUGCAUCGGCGCUUCGCUCUCUUCAACUCGUCUUCCGUAGACUGAGAGUCACGAAGACGAGACAGAGAAGAGAUGCGACCCUGGAACAAAUGGGUGAGCUGCAAAAAGAAAAAAUGGGUAAGGACACGCUCAUAAAAAUAACUAAGAAACAAAGAACACUCACGUUGCUCAGGUUUUGUCCUAUUUCUUCGACAAUCCGGUCCAUCGGGUACCCAGAGAUGACCCGCAGUGUGGUUCGGGUGGCAUCCGUGUCAGGGGUCACGAGAAAUUUGGACCCAUAGUUCCGGGGGUGCGAACCUCGAUACCCCGGCAGUUGCGUCUCCCGGGUGGAAGAAUAAUUGAAGCAGCCCCGGGAGGACUCCCCAGAAUAAUAAUUCUUCUUGCGAAGAGGACUUCGUCGCCUGGGGGAGUAUCUCCUCUUCCUUGGAGGAGAUAAGUUGGUCCUGGAGGGAGGAGUUCGUUCUUUUCUUUUUCCCCUCUCAGAGACCGCUUUCUCUAUAGUUUUUUCAGUCUGCUUAGACUGAAUCUCUUUCUCUGCUGCCUUCUCCGCUUUCUCUCGCUCUUCUUCUGACAAAGUAGGGAAGAAGUCAGAGAGCCUCG
rnacentral:lncRNA from 1 species